rnacentral:lncRNA from 1 species
AUGGCCACAAAACAGCCCCUGUUUCUAUUUUCAGACUGUGCUCUUCUGGCUCAAGAAGGCCAACACUGCACCCGUAGGGCAAAGGAGCCAUCCAUUGCCAAAACCUGCAGAGCAGUGGGAAGGGGAAAGGUUUUCCUGGUGGCAUUUUUCGGCAGAGAGAAUAUGUUAUCUUGCCUGCUUCUUGGGAACCGUGGAUCCUUCAUCAGUGACCUGGAAUGGUUGCUAAGUGUGAAGCAGAGAGCAGUUCUGACAGCCUUCUUUAAGCACAGGAUAUCCAUUGCUCUCAUGCGAAAAAGAAGCCUCCCAGAAAAGACUGCAUUGGGCAUUGACAGCUCUUUCACACGUUGUACUGUUAUUUCUGAAACCCGAUCACGAGUUGUACUAUCUAGGUAAUACAUGCCUUUUGGACAUUUCUUAGUAAAGAUGCCCAAAUGAGAGACCCUACUGAUGAAAGCACUUCCUUCAGGGACCUUCAAUAGCUCGAUAUAUAUUUAGGGAAAUACAAAAGGAGAGGAGCGUGUAUUUUUGGGAUUGGGAAAAUACACAUUUUCCAUUGGACUAAACUGUCAACUCAUCAAUAUUUUAGAAUGGGUCAUGACCUGCAUAAAAGAAAAAACAAACAAACCUGUUUUGACUUUCUUGGCAGCCCCAAUCCUAAUUUGGUGGAAGUGGCUUUGUGCCUGGAUUUGAAAGCCACAGUCCCAGCCUUCUAUGCACUCAGCAAUGGCCGUAGAGCACACAUCUGGCCAAUGGUAUCUAAGAGGAAGUUACUUAAAGCUACUUAAAAUAGGACAGAAGCAGCUGAAGGGCACACGUUUUGUUCUCAUGCGUUUUCCUCUAGUAGCUGGAAUCAACUAGUAAUUUUGCAGUAGGAAAAAAUGAAAAGAUUCAUAGAUCCGGCAAUAAUGGUUUUAACAUGAGCCAUCCUUCCCUCAUCCUCCACAUUAACCCUCCAAUUUGCAGUUCCCUGAUUUGCGCAGCCAAAUGGAAUACCUAACGGAAAUAGAAUAUGGUAUCAGAACUGGCAGGGGGUGUAGCAAGGAAAGGAUGCUUCAAGUAAUAGAACCAAAAAUGUUUAAUUUGCUUAAUGGAAGGGGUGGGAAAGUGAGGGCAGUAUUGCAGGAGGUAAAGCUGGUUCAUCCAUAUGCAACAGGGCAAAACAGUUUUUCAGACUCUAGAAACAUUGUCUACUGACUCCUAAGUAAUAGAGAAUGUUGGCAUGCGUUGGACCCUUCUUAUUGCUUUUAGCAAAGCCUUAAGGGAGCAAUGAACUGAUUCAGAGACACACAGUCUACAAACAUGUGGAAGAAAAUACAGCACUGAUAAGAGGAGUGCUUCUUCCAAGACCAUCAAUCUAAGUUGACUGAGAAUCUCAAAAAUUGGAGCCAUUCGAUAGUUAAGAUAUAUGUUUGCUACUGGAAAAGAAACUCAAAAUACAAUGUGAAAGAAAAACAGAAGCUCAGUUCUCUCUCCUGUAACAGUCUUGAGUAUAAGCAGAAAAGCUGUAAAGUGUGUGGCUCCAUGCUGCCUUUCUAUCUUACUGCUCCCGAAUCUCCUUGUUGCAGUAAUCCAAGAUUACUCUCCACUAUUCAGGCAUUUCAGGAGGCAGGAAGGGGAAAAGAGGGAAAGAGAGGGCAUUCUCUUCCUUCUAAAGACAUACUCUGGAAGUUGCACCUGUUAUUUCUGCAUAUAACUUAUCGGAAAGAAUUUAGUUAUAUGUCCACCCCCAAGCACAAGGACUUUAAUCUGGUCUACCAUGUGCUCAGCUAAAAGCCACGGGUUCCAUGUUGCUGGAAAGGGGAAAGAACCGAUACUGCCUUUCUUGGGGUUGAACAGCUAACUUCUCCUCUCCCUCAAGCAGAAAGCAUUGUAAACUAAAGAGUGUACAUCUGUCUUCCUCUUCUUGUCUCCUUCUGAAAAUCCAGCUUUGAAAAGCAGCCUACACCAAUCUCACAUUUUUCAUAUUCCACAUUAGAAAAGUGAUGUAGCUUUAAUAAGAUAGCAAUACUUUAUAUUUUGUUCUUCCAUCAGGCCAAAGGGUUAUGGUGUUAGAAUGUUCUUUGGCAAUUCCAAAUAGGAAAAACAAAAUCUCAAAAAACUUUUGAAGAUAUCUAGCGUAGUGGAAAUGUCUCAAGAUUUAGUUCUAAUUAGCCUCUGAAACUGUGUUCCUGCCAACUCUGUUGCAUUGACUAAGUUCAGAUCAGGCAUCCUGGGACAUUUCAUUCCGUUUUGAACGAGGCGCAUUGCUAAUUCUCUAAUCAAUGAACGGACACUCCAUUUGUCAAACAGCAUAAUUGCCAUUAAAUGAAUAUAAUUCAUAGCUAAUUGUUAAAAAGGAGUAAUUUGCUGUGACUUGAACAGAUUUUAAUUGUAUUCCUUGACUUAUGGGAACAUCUUAUUAAAUAGUGGAAAAAUCUUUUUAAAAAUCUGUAUUUUGGAGCAAAGGUGGUGAUAUCUUUUUAAGAUCACACAUGGGAUGAAUUAAUCGAUUCAAACAUUAUGUGAACAAAUAUGCUGCUACAAGAAUGUUCAUUGAAGCAUUAUUUAAAAUACCAAAAAAUUUCAAGCAACAUGCAUAUCCAUCUACAGAGGCAUAGUUACAGAAAAUACAGUUUAUCUAUGCUAAAAAUCAAAAAAACUUAUUCAACGCUUAAAACAAGGAGAUAGAUCCAAGUGGAAAGAUAUCCAACACACAACAUUAAGAUUUAAAAAACUAUAAAGCGAUAUGUAUGGUUCAAGUACAUUAGCUGACAGAGCAAAUCAGAAAGCAGUUACAUACAUACAUAUAACUGUAUAUGCACGGAGGUUUUUGGAAGCAUAUGCAUGUAUUAAUAUUACAACUAAAUAGUGGACUAGUUGUCCUGGUAUGAGAAAUGGCAGAUUCUUAGUUUUUACUUUAUAAACCUUCUGUAUUUGUUGAACUUUUAACUUUAAAUUUGCAUUCGUUUUGCAUUUUAAAAAGUUAUUAAAACCUAUAAAAA